rnacentral:lncRNA from 1 species
AACUUGUUUAUAAUUGUGAUAUAGAGUUAAGGAAACCUAUUGAUUGAUAGCUUGCCUUCCUAGAUUUAAUUUUAAUCAUAUAAAGUCAAAUGCUUAUUGCCCAUGAGUCUUAUUUUUCUUAUUAAUUGAAGCUUUAGUUAUUUGCCUCUAUUUGUUACUUGUUUCAUAUCACCUCACUUAGGGGUGUCAAAAUGGGUCAAUUGAAUCAACCCAACCCAU